AUUGAACGCUGGCGGCAGGCCUAACACAUGCAAGUCGAGCGGAUGAAGGGAGCUUGCUCCUGGAUUCAGCGGCGGACGGGUGAGUAAUGCCUAGGAAUCUGCCUGGUAGUGGGGGAUAACGUCCGGAAACGGGCGCUAAUACCGCAUACGUCCUGAGGGAGAAAGUGGGGGAUCUUCGGACCUCACGCUAUCAGAUGAGCCUAGGUCGGAUUAGCUAGUUGGUGGGGUAAAGGCCUACCAAGGCGACGAUCCGUAACUGGUCUGAGAGGAUGAUCAGUCACACUGGAACUGAGACAGGGUCCAGACUCCUACGGGAGGCAGCAGUGGGGAAUAUUGGACAAUGGGCGAAAGCCUGAUCCAGCCAUGCCGCGUGUGUGAAGAAGGUCUUCGGAUUGUAAAGCACUUUAAGUUGGGAGGAAGGGAAGUAAGUUAAUACCUUGCUGUUUUGACGUUACCAACAGAAUAAGCACCGGCUAACUUCGUG
rnacentral:rRNA from 1 species